GAUGAAGAACGCAGCGAAAUGCGAUAACUAAUGUGAAUUGCAGAAUUCCGUGAAUCAUCGAGUCUUUGAACGCACAUUGCGCCCCCUGGUAUUCCGGGGGGCAUGCCUGUCCGGGCGUCAUUGCUGCCCAUCAAGCACGGCUUGUGUGUUGGGUCCUCGUCCCCCCCGGGGGACGUGCCCGAAAGGCAGCGGCGGCACCGCGUCCGGUCCUCGAGCGUAUGGGGCUUUGUCACCCGCUCUGCAGGCCCGGCCGGCGCUGGCCGACGCGAAAGCAACCAUUUUUUCUCCAGGUUGACCUCGGAUCAGGUAGGGAUACCCGCUGAACUUAAGCAUAUCAAUAAGCGGAGGA
rnacentral:misc_RNA from 1 species